CAGGUUCACCUAUGUGAAAGAUCAGUGAACCAACGUGUAGUGCGGCUUCUCUUGCUGAGAUUACGGACGUGAUAAGUCACAGGAUGAGUGACUGUGGAAAGAACUGGAGGCACGUGCAUGAGUGCCUCACACUGUUGGGUUGUUUUAUCAGUAGUGGAUGAGAAACAGUCACACACUGUCAAGAGCUUCUUCAACACUGAGACACAGAAGAAUUUUUGUUUUACGGGUAACGCUGGGAGGGAUCAAGGCAUUGUCAACUGACAUAUUAUGUGAGAAAGCAAAUUCUGCAUACUACAUUUUCUAAGAAAAAAAAAAAAAAGAAAGAACGAAGCAUUAAGCUGAGCACUGGAGUUUUCGUUCAAAAAGAAAUAAAGGUAACUGUUACCUGUAUUCUUAAAUAUAU
rnacentral:lncRNA from 1 species